CCAGACUCCUACGGGAGGCAGCAGUGGGGAAUAUUGCACAAUGGGGGGAACCCUGAUGCAGCGACGCCGCGUGGGCGAGGAAGUAUUUCGGUAUGUAAAGCCCUAUCGGCAGGGAAGAAGAAAUGACGGUACCUGAAUAAGAAGCACCGGCUAAAUACGUGCCAGCAGCCGCGGUAAUACGUAGGUGGCAAGCGUUGUCCGGAAUUACUGGGUGUAAAGGGAGCGCAGGCGGGAAGCCAAGUCAGCUGUGAAAACUACGGGCUUAACUUGUAGACUGCAGUUGAAACUGGUUUUCUUGAGUGAAGUAGAGGUUGGCGGAAUUCCGAGUGUAGCGGUGAAAUGCGUAGAUAUUCGGAGGAACACCGGUGGCGAAGGCGGCCAACUGGGCUUUAACUGACGCUGAGGCUCGAAAGUGUGGGGAGCAAACAGGAUUAGAUACCCUUGUA
rnacentral:rRNA from 1 species